rnacentral:rRNA from 1 species
CCUACGGGGGGCUGCAGUGGGGAAUAUUGCACAAUGGGCGCAAGCCUGAUGCAGCCAUGCCGCGUGUGUGAAGAAGGCCUUCGGGUUGUAAAGCACUUUCAGCGGGGAGGAAGGCGUUAAGGUUAAUAACCUUGGCGAUUGACGUUACCCGCAGAAGAAGCCCCGGCUAACUCCGUGCCAGCAGCCGCGGUAAUACGGAGGGUGCAAGCGUGAAUCGGAAUUACUGGGCGUAAAGCGCACGCAGGCGGUCUGUCAAGUCGGAUGUGAAAUCCCCGGGCUCAACCUGGGAACUGCAUUCGAAACUGGCAGGCUAGAGUCUUGUAGAGGGGGGUAGAAUUCCAGGUGUAGCGGUGAAAUGCGUAGAGAUCUGGAGGAAUACCGGUGGCGAAGGCGGCCCCCUGGACAAAGACUGACGCUCAGGUGCGAAAGCGUGGGGAGCAAACAGGAUUAGAUACCCCUGUAGUC